rnacentral:rRNA from 1 species
AGUGAACGCUGGCGGUAGGCCUAACACAUGCAAGUCGAACGGCAGCACAGUAAGAGCUUGCUCUUACGGGUGGCGAGUGGCGGACGGGUGAGGAAUACAUCGGAAUCUACUUUUUCGUGGGGGAUAACGUAGGGAAACUUACGCUAAUACCGCAUACGACCUCCGGUGAAAGCAGGGGGUCUUCGGACCUUUUGCGAUUGAAUAAGGCGAGGUCGGAUUAGCUAGUUGGCGGGGGAAAGGCCCACCAAGGCGACGGACCGUAGCUGGUCUGAGAGGAUGAUCAGCCACACUGGAACUGAGACACGGUCCAGACUCCUACGGGAGGCAGCAGUGGGGAAUAUUGGACAAUGGGCGCAAGCCUGAUCCAGCCAUACCGCGUGGGUGAAGAAGGCCUUCGGGUUGUAAAGCCCUUUUGUUGGGAAAGAAAAGCAGCAGGUUAAUACCCCGCUGUUCUGACGGUACCCAAAGAAUAAGCACCGGCUAACUUCGUG